rnacentral:rRNA from 1 species
UGCGUAGGCGGACUAAUAAGUCAGUGGUGAAAUCUUGCAGCUUAACUGUAAAACUGCCAUUGAUACUGUUAGUCUUGAAUUUAGUUGAGGUAGGCGGAAUGUAUUGUGUAGCGGUGAAAUGCAUAGAUAUAAUACAGAACACCGAUUGCGAAGGCAGCUUACUAAGCUAUAAUUGACGCUGAGGCACGAAAGCGUGGGGAGCGAACAGGAUUAGUUACCCUGGUAGUCC